rnacentral:lncRNA from 1 species
GGCGAUGUAGUCGCGCGGCUUCAUCUCCAAGGCGAUGUGGUUUUUCGUGGGCAUCGACGAAGUGCAGCAGCAAGGCGGCUCGACGCGGAGCAGCGGCAACACAGUAGCAGGCAGCGGCAACAAACAGUAGCACACAGACUGACAAGCAGGGCCCACACGUCAAGGUUUAACAAUUUCAGGAAAAGAAGAAAAAGGAAAAGAGAGCACGGGCCUGGGCUUGGAUCUGGCUUGGGCUUGGGCGUGCCGGGCUUGCUCGGGCCUGGUCCGGGCUGGGCUAGGCCAACACGCCGGGCGGCAGCAGCGCGCUGGAGGCAGAGGAGGCUGGUGGGGAGCGCUGCAGGUGGGUGCUGGCGGCGGAGCUCGCGCGGAGGUGGAGCGGAGCAGGGAGCUCGGGCGGCACGGUGCACUGGAGGCGCGCGGCAGCAAGGAGAAGGGGAGACAGAGCGGGCUCGGCGGCGAAGCUGCGCGGGGAGCGAGGGGAGGCGCGCGGCGAGGCGGCCGGAGCAGAGGCGCGGGUGAGGGGCGAGCUCGGCGACGGGGAAGAGAGAGGCGGAGCGGGCCGGCGAGGUGGUGGCGCUGGAGCAGGGGAGGCGGAGCGGGCCGGCGAGGGGAGCGGGAGGCGCGCGGGGAGCUUGGGCGGCACGGUGGUUGCGUGGAGUGAGGGGAGGUGCGCGGCGACGGGAGAGGCGGCUCGGCCGAGGUGGAGAGGGGAGAUGGAGGGAGCAAGGGGAGGCACGGCGACGGGGAGCAGCAGGUGAGAGAGGGAGCCAGCCAUGGAGGAGCUCGGGGAAGGGAGAGAUCGGGUGGAGAAGGAAGAAGGAGAAAGAAGGCUGCGGCGGCGGCUCGGAGGAAGAGAGGAAGAAAAGAAAGGAAAAAGGGGA